GCUGAAACGUCGGAUUCCAUAUGAUCCCCGAAGUUAAGCAACGUCGACCAUAGUCAGUACCUAGAGGGGUGACCGCUUGGGAAAAUCAGGUACUGUA